rnacentral:rRNA from 1 species
ACACCGGCAGCUCUAGUGGUAGCAGUUUUUAUUGGGCCUAAAGCGUCCGUAGCCGGCUUAAUAAGUCUCUGGUGAAAUCCUGUAGCUUAACUGUGGGAAUUGCUGGAGAUACUAUUAGACUUGAGACCGGGAGAGGUUAGAGGUACUCCCAGGGUAGAGGUGAAAUUCUGUAAUCCUGGGAGGACCGCCUGUUGCGAAGGCGUCUAACUGGAACGGUUCUGGCGGUGAGGGACGAAAGUUAGGGGCGCGAACCGGAUUAGAUACCCGGGUAGUCCUAACUGUAAACGAUGCGGACUUGGUGUUGGGGUGGCUUUGAGCUGCUCCAGUGCCGAAGGGAAGCUGUUAAGUCCGCCGCCUGGGAAGUACGGUCGCAAGACUGAAACUUAAAUGAAUGGACGGGG